rnacentral:rRNA from 1 species
CACGUAGGCGGCCUGUUAAGUGUGGAGUGAAAUCCCACGGCUCACCCGUGGAACUGCUUUGCAUACUGGCAAGCUCGAGGACGGUAGGGGAGAGCGGAACUCUUGGUGGAGCGGUGAAAUGCGUAGAUAUCAAGAGGAACACCGAUGGCGAAGGCAGCUCUCUGGUCCGUUUCUGACGCUGAGGUGCGAAAGCUAGGGUAGCGAACG